rnacentral:rRNA from 1 species
UGGGCCUGCAGUCGACGAUUCCUACGGGAGGCAGCAGCAGGGAAUAUUGUGCAAUGAGCGAAAGCUUGACACAGCGACACCGCGUGUGGGAUGACGGUUCUAGGAUUGUAAACCACUUUCAGGAGGGAAGAAAAUGACGGUACCUCCACAAGAAGACCCGGCCAACUAUGUGCCAGCAGCCGCGGUAAUACAUAGGGGUCAAGCGUUGUCCGGAUUUAUUGGGCGUAAAGAGCUCGUAGGCGGUUCAACAAGUCGGUCGUAAAAGUUUAGGGCUCAACCCUAAAAUGUCGAUCGAUACUGUUGCGACUAGGAUACGGUAGAGGUGAAUGGAAUUCCGAGUGUAGCGGUGAAGUGCGUAGAUAUUCGGAGGAACACCAAUUGCGAAGGCAGUUCACUGGACCGUGAUCGACGCUGAGGAGCGAAAGCUAGGGGAGCAAACAGGAUUAGAUACCCUAGUAGUCCUAGCUGUAAACAAUGGAUACUAGAUGUUGAACAGAUCGACCUGUGCAGUAUUAAAGCUAACGCGUUAAGUAUCCCGCCUGGGAAGUAUGCUCGCAAGAGUGAAACUCAAAUGAAUUGACGG